rnacentral:lncRNA from 1 species
GGACCUAUGUGAUUACGCUGGGGAAAGUGUGAUCACUGGAGGAAAAGAGAAAGCCGGAUCACAGAAAGAAUAAGUACCUUGCCGAGGCGCACAAGCUAGUGAGCAUCGGCACUGAAUAGGACCCUAACUAGUUUGGGCCCCAUGUCUGUGCUUUUAACCAUCACACCAAACCAAGAUCAAAGCUUUGGGAGAACAGAACAUACGAUUGGGAAGUCUUGGUUCAGAAGAUAAAACGCUAAAUGUGAGAAUGUUAUGAUAAAGAGUCCUGGUGGACAUUACCUGGGACAGCUCGGGACUGACGGUGACAACAUUUAUUGAGCAUCUGCUAUGUCCCAGGCCCACACAAGACUCUAUGUAGAUGAUCUCAUUUAAUCCUCAAAACAACCCUAUGAACAAGGUACUCUAAUUAUUCCCAUUUAACAGAUGAGAAAGCUGAGACCUAGGAAUGUUAAGUAAUUUGUGAGACCUGGCAAAAGAAGGGAUGAAGACCUCUGAGGCAAAGUAUAUUCAUUUCAUGAUGUUUUUUGGAUAAUGGCCCUAGUUACAGGUGAUGUAGUCUUUAUUAAUCACAGUUCCAACACCUUUGUAAGCAGUUUACAGUGUUGA